rnacentral:rRNA from 1 species
AAGAUGCGGGAGUGCCCGAAAGGGAAUUGGAACACAGGUGCUGCAUGGCUGUCGUCAGCUCGUGUCGUGAGAUGUUGGGUUAAGUCCCGCAACGAGCGCAACCCUUAUCAUUAGUUGCUACGCAAGGGCACUCUAAUGAGACUGCCGGUGACAAACCGGAGGAAGGUGGGGAUGACGUCAAGUCCUCAUGGCCCUUAUGGGUAGGGCUUCACACGUCAUACAAUGGUCGGUACAGAGGGUUGCCAAGCCGCGAGGUGGAGCCAAUCCCAGAAAGCCGAUCGUAGUCCGGAUUGUUCUCUGCAACUCGAGAGCAUGAAGUCGGAAUCGCUAGUAAUCGCGGAUCAGCAUGUCGCGGUGAAUACGUUCCCGGGCCUUGUACACACCGAAA